rnacentral:rRNA from 1 species
GCUGAGGCGUGAUGACGAGGCACUACGGUGCUGAAGCAACAAAUGCCCUGCUUCCAGGAAAAGCCUCUAAGCAUCAGGUAACAUCAAAUCGUACCCCAAACCGACACAGGUGGUCAGGUAGAGAAUACCAAGGCGCUUGAGAGAACUCGGGUGAAGGAACUAGGCAAAAUGGUGCCGUAACUUCGGGAGAAGGCACGCUGAUAUGUAGGUGAGGUCCCUCGCGGAUGGAGCUGAAAUCAGUCGAAGAUACCAGCUGGCUGCAACUGUUUAUUAAAAACACAGCACUGUGCAAACACGAAAGUGGACGUAUACGGUGUGACGCCUGCCCGGUGCCGGA